GAAAUUGCUGUUUCUACACCAUUUAAAUGAUUAAUCUUUUUGAACUUUGAAGGGCAUCAGAGACAGUUGCUUAGAAAAGUAUGAUGAAUUGGGAAUCUUAGGUUGAGUUUCAGUAAUGUCCAUGAUUUAGGGACUUGUUUUGGUAAUGCUGGAACUGAUGCAUGAAAACACAUAAGUUGUAGAAUUAGUAGGACCAAAAAGACAUGAAUAGUGACCAAGCAAUGAAUUUUAACUGUCUAUACUCAAAUUCUGAUUGUGGUGUGGAGACUGAAACAGGCUAAAGCUUACUAUGUAUGUGUGGUAUUAUUAUUCGAUUAAUUCCAGUCUAAUUAAUAGCGUUUCAAGC
rnacentral:lncRNA from 1 species